CUCCUACGGGAGGCAGCAGUGAGGAAUAUUGGUCAAUGGGCGCGAGCCUGAACCAGCCAAGUCGCGUGAGGGAGGACGGCCCUACGGGUUGUAAACCUCUUUUGCCGGGGAGCAACGGGCGUCACGUGUGGCGCCACUGAGAGUACCCGGAGAAAAAGCAUCGGCUAACUCCGUGCCAGCAGCCGCGGUAAUACGGAGGAUGCGAGCGUUAUCCGGAUUCAUUGGGUUUAAAGGGUGCGCAGGCGGGCCUUUAAGCCGGCGGUGAAA
rnacentral:rRNA from 1 species